UAUUGUUAAUUCAGAUUGGCAUAUAGAAAAGGAUUGAGGGGCGUUUUUUUAGUUUUACAUAGUCUCAUUUCUAUGACGUUUGAGAAACUCAGAAAAGUGGUUCAAUUAAAACAUUUUUUAGGAUUUUCAACUGACAGUGUUGGGUGUCUGGGAGUCGUGACACAAUGUCGUCGUGCUGGCGAAUGCUGCUGCCGUCACACUCGUCGUUUCUUCUCAUUUCCCAGACGCUUCCGGCGAGCGCCAUUGUGUCUGUAUACUUUUGACGUCGCGUCAAUCCGAGGUUUUUCCAACCCGACGAGUCAUUGGUGCGUGUCUAGUCACCAGAGAUAAGGGAAAACAUUUGAAAAGGUAUAGAGUACAGUUUAAUAUGUAGGUGGAUAGACUGGAGAAGGUGGGGGGUGUCACUUUUCCUCCGAGCUGUGACGUAUACGUUUGGAAUUACCCAGGUCCAACGCAAAUAGUUCUCCAACAUCUAAACGAGAGGAAACAAAAUGUAAACGAUUCUUUUGAAAAGAUUAAUUUCGAAAGGAUUCGACGAAAAGGGGCCACGACAUUUUUCCUUUUUCUUUCUUAUCGUUGUUGGUCUUGGUCUGAGUGGCACAAGAUUACAGACAUGCGCACAGCCGGAGUCGAUUUACCGACUCCGGCAUAAAAGUCUCCGCAAUUCCGCUUCUCCUACUCACACGACCGCAGGAAUCCCCACGGCGCUGGCACGUCUAUUCAGUCCACAAUAAGUUCAGAUUUG